GCCUUCGUGGUGUAACGGUAGCACACUCGACGCGUAUUCGAGAGGUACAGGUUCGAGUCCCAGCGAGGGCA
rnacentral:tRNA from 1 species